CCAAAAAAAAAAAAAAAACGCAUAAGCUGAUCGAACCCUUUCUCUUUCAUCUGAGAAUGCGAUCUCUAUUCUUCUCCCAACCAAAGCAAGCGACCAAACAUUACAUCCACCACCACACCACCGCUGGUGAGCCGCGACCACUCUCCUCCUUCUCCAUCCAUCACUGCUGCAUACUCCUCCAUCUUCUGUUUCGAUUCUUCAGUUUAGAGACAUCUCUCUCCACAACAAACCCUAAUUGUUGUAACUUAAGCCAUUCGAAAAUCUCAAGAGCUUCAACAGCGUUGAACCCAUUCAAAAAUCUGGUGCUUAAGUCUUCUUCCAAAUCUCACCACCAUGAAUAAUGAUGAUAUCAAUGAAGAAUUUGAAGAUUUGGAAGCAUAAGAUGAAAAGAUAUAGAUGUGUGUUUAUAUAUAUAUAUAUAUAUAUAUAUAUAUAUAUAUAUAUAUAUAUUUUAAAGAUGUUAAUUGUGAUCAAAGAUAAUCUUAAUCUAUUCAUUAAAGAUUAACAAAACAAUAUAUUUAACAAGUAUUUCAUUUUGUUAUAUAGUUGUUUAAUUCGAGAUAUUACA